rnacentral:rRNA from 1 species
AGCAGUCGCCGCGGGAAUACAGAGGGUGCGAGCGUUAAUCGGAUUUACUGGGCGUAAAGCGUGCGCAGGCGGUGUUGUAAGACUGAUGUGAAAUCCCCGGGCUCAACCUGGGAACUGCAUUGGUGACUGCAACGCUGGAGUGCGGCAGAGGGGGAUGGAAUUCCGCGUGUAGCAGUGAAAUGCGUAGAUAUGCGGAGGAACACCGAUGGCGAAGGCAAUCCCCUGGGCCUGCACUGACGCUCAUGCACGAAAGCGUGGGGAGCAAACAGGAUUAGAUACCCCCGUAGUCCCUGUCUCUUAUAC